GACGAGGUGGCCGAGAGGUUAAGGCGAUGGACUGUUAAUCCAUUGUGCUUCUCACGCGUGGGUUCGAAUCCCUUCCUCGUUG
rnacentral:tRNA from 1 species